rnacentral:tRNA from 1 species
GGGCAUUUGGUCUAGUGGUAUGAUUUUCGCUUUGGGUGCGAGAGGUCCCGAGUUUGAUUCUCGGAAUGCCCC